AUUGAACGCUGGCGGAAUGCUUUACACAUGCAAGUCGAACGGUAGAGGGGGCAACCCCUUGAGAGUGGCGAACGGGUGAGUAAUAUAUCGGAACGUGCCCAGUCGUGGGGAUAACGUAGCGAAAGUUACGCUAAUACCGCAUACGAUCUAAGGAUGAAAGCGGGGGAUCGCAAGACCUCGCGCGAUUGGAGCGGCCGAUAUCAGAUUAGGUAGUUGGUGAGGUAAAGGCUCACCAAGCCAACGAUCUGUAGCUGGUCUGAGAGGACGACCAGCCACACUGGAACUGAGACACGGUCCAGACUCCUACGGGAGGCAGCAGUGGGGAAUUUUGGACAAAUGGGACGCAAGUCCUGAUCCAGCCAAUUCCGCGUGCAGGAUGAAGGCCCUCGGGUUGUAAACUGCUUUGUA
rnacentral:rRNA from 1 species